rnacentral:tRNA from 1 species
GGAGGUAAUUUUGUUCACUUACAAUGAAGAAUACCUUAGGGCUCCUUUAUAUUUAGGAUUAUAAUUAAUAU